rnacentral:rRNA from 1 species
AACGAACGCUGGCGGCAGGCUUAACACAUGCAAGUCGAACGCAUCCUUCGGGGUGAGUGGCAGACGGGUGAGUAACGCGUGGGAACGUGCCCUGCACUUCGGGAUAAGCCUGGGAAACUGGGUCUAAUACCGGAUAGAACUCCGGACUGCAUGGUCUGGGGUGGAAAGCUUUGGCGGCGUGGGAUGGGCGCGGGGCCGAUCAGCUUGUUGGUGGGGUGAUGGCGUACCAAGGCGACGACGGGUAGCCGGCCUGAGAGGGUGACCGGCCACACUGGGACUGAGAUACGGCCCAGACUCCUACGGGAGGCAGCAGUGGGGAAUAUUGCACAAUGGGCGCAAGCCUGAUGCAGCGACGCCGCGUGAGGGAUGACGGCCUUCGGGUUGUAAACCUCUUUCAGCAUCGACGAAGCGAAAGUGACGGUAGGUGCAGAAGAAGGACCGGCCAACUACGUGCCAGCAGCCGCAGUAA